AUUGAACGCUGGCGGCAGGCCUAACACAUGCAAGUCGAACGAGUGGCGGACGGGUGAUUAAUGUCUGGGAAACUGCCCGAUGGAUGGGGAUAACUACUUGAAACGGUAGCUAAUACCGCAUACCAUCGGAUGUGCCCAGAUGGGAUUGGCUAGUAGGUGGGGUAACGGCUCACCUAGGCGACGAUCCCUAGCUGGUCUGAGAGGAUGACCAGCCACACGGGAACUGAGACACGGUCCAGACUCCUACGGGAGGCAGCAGUGGGGAAUAUUGCACAAUGGGAGCAAGCCUGAUGCAGCAAUGCCGCGUGUAUGAAGAAGGCCUUCGGGUUGUAAAGUACUUUCAGUAGGGAGGCGUUACCGACAGAAGAAGCACCGGCUAACUCCGUGCAAGCAGCCGCGGUAAUUC
rnacentral:rRNA from 1 species